GGGAAAAAAAAAAUCUCAAAUGCCCUCUACCCAUCAGACUCUCUGUCCUAAAUAGACAAAGCCCCGUCCAUUCCAUUAAAUCACAAAAACAGCUCACAGAUGUCGUUAAGGUUACUAAUCAGUUAAAUUAGAUUUAAUCAAAAGGAGGUUAUCUGUGUGGGUCUAAUCCAAUCUCGAGUACAUUAAAAGCAAAAUUUUAUUGACAGUUCGCAAAAGGGCGAGUCAGAGGGACUAAUGGGGAGAAGGAAGGCUGGAUGUACCCUGCCUAGCCUGAAGAUGGAGGGCGGACGGGCAUACAGUCCCCAGAGCAGCCCUGGCUGACCCCACUCUGACAGCUGCUAGGUAACAGGUCUAGUAGCGGCACAGAACUAAACAUUGCUAACAAUCUGAGAGAGCGCAGGAAGUGAGCCUGUCUCCAGGCCCUUGGCUGGCCAGCAGCAUUUUGAUGGCUCGCUGUAAGACCCAGAACACUGGCUCCCGUAGAGACUACAGUAGAGACUGCUGGGAUUUCCGGACAGACGGAUGUGUAGGAAGGACUGUGGCCUCAUAUCAGGGGUUGUUUAAACAGCCAGUGGUGGUCAUUUGUUAUGCAGCCGUAGAAAACCAAACCAAACCAAACCUCCAGCUUCCCGAGAGACACUUCUGAGACUUUUUCUCAGGCUCUUUCCUAUCACAGGUGACUGAGGAUAUCAGCUAGAUAGCACACCUACAGACUCCGCCCUUCCCCAGGGCCUGAGUGAACAGAAGCUGGGAUGAUGGAGGACGGGCUACUGGCUGAUGGGAAAGGCAAAGAAUCACUGAGCUUGGACCAAGAGAUCCUUGGAAAGCUGGGGUGGGGAUGGCUUCAAAUCCCCCAUCAAUUCGCUCUUCCAAAAACACUGAUAUUUGGAUGUUGUACUGGCUGGUUUUGUGUGUCAACUUGACACAAGCUGGAGUUAUCACAGAGAAAGGAGCUUCAGGUGAGGAAAUGCCUCCAUGAGAUCCAGCUGUCAGGCAGUUUCUCAAUUAGUGAUCAAGGGUGGGAGGGCCCAUUGUGGGUGGUGCCAU
rnacentral:lncRNA from 1 species